ACUCCUACGGGAGGCAGCAGUGGGGAAUAUUGCGCAAUGGGGGAAACCCUGACGCAGCAACGCCGCGUGAAUGAUGAAGGUCUUCGGAUUGUAAAGUUCUGUCUUCUGGGACGAUAAUGACGGUACCAGAGGAGGAAGCCACGGCUAACUAC
rnacentral:rRNA from 1 species